GGCCCAUUCGUCUAGUGGUUAGGACGCAAGGUUUUCAUCCUUGAAACAGGAGUUCGAUUCUCCUAUGGGCUACAA
rnacentral:tRNA from 4 species